rnacentral:lncRNA from 1 species
AAAGUUAUUUUAAAUUUAAAAAAUAUAUGUAUUCGUGAUGUAUUUCGCUCUCUUUCUUUUAUCUCAUUGAAUUUGCUCUUUACUUUCAAGUUACUGAGGAUUUAUACUUGUCUACAAAUUACUUUGUAUAAGCAUCAAUCAAUUCUUGAAUUGAAGAUUCAAGUUCCAUCUUCAAUGCAAGCUCUUUCGCACUUUCCCUCAAUUGUUUUUCUUUUAAAUCAAAUUUCUCACUGCAAUCUUUAAUCAAAUUGCCCAAUGCUUUCCAACCACGUCUGCUCCAUGCAACAUUUCUUCUGUUGAACUAAACAUUCUUUAAAUUAAAGGAAAUUUUGAACGAAUUCAUUUCAUUCUCUUUCAAUUGAAGUUCAAAAUUACAUUCUAAACGACUGAAAUUCUUCAUCAUAACUCAACGAACACUCAAGUAUAAAUGCCAACAAAGCAUAUUUGCCUGCUGAUAUUAUAAAAUGUCCACUAUCUCAAACAGAAUGCAAUUCCAGACCAAAGUGUUCAAAAUGCCAUUUUCACUCUGUCGAGAUAAAUUAAAAAUUGAAAAAAAAGAACUAAUUUACCUGCAACCUAAAUGUUAUUUUGUUACUAUUUAAUUAGUUAAUUAUUCAUUUACUAUAUUAAAAUGAAUGGUAGAGAUUAAACACUUAAAUCUAAGGGUUUAUGACAAUCAUAUUAUUAAUAUAGUAAAAAUCAUUUGGUAUCAUAAAGAAAUCCUUCGAAAUAAUAUGAAUGCUCCCAGGGUUGAUGAGUAAGUCAGUGAGUGGGCUGUGGGCCAAUUAAAUAGAAGGGUGUGGCUAAAUAGAAAAAUGAAAAGUGAAAAGUCAUAUACAGUUCGUCGGCAACACGUGAAGCCCGAGCAAUAUUUCGAUUCACGGACAAAGGAGAAAGACGAGUUAAUGCUAAGAAUAAAUUAGAAAUUUCCAUUAAACAAUUGUGAAAAGCCAAACAUUGCAGUUCGCGAGAGCAAUUAAAUUAAUAACACAGCAUCACACGUAUGGCAGCUGAAAGAGAUUUCGGAGGCAUUAAUUGCCAUCCCCACACAAGGAAAAUAAUCCUCCCUGAUAUAAUUUUAAAAACUUCUGUAAUUUAUUUUUUUAAUGAUAGUGUAUGAGUAAAAUUAAAAUUAAAAUUAAAAUUUAUUUAUUAAUUAAUAAUUAAUAAUUAAUAAUUAAUAAUUAAAUUAUUUAAUCAGAAUAUAAUGAAGAGAAUACACGUAGCACCACUUAUAAUAUUUGGCAUCAUCGAAUUGUCAGAUUAUGUUAAUUUCCUCCGCCUUUCAAACAAAACUGGACGACUGUCAUGCACUCAACAGUGUCAUUAUCCUUAAAGAAAGUAAAUGCAACAUUAAAAGGGAGGAAACAGAAUCGUCACAAAUGACAUCAGAACGAUUGCAAUAUACGUAGGUAGCGGCCAAAAAACCCAACAAUUAUUUGAUCAUCCGCAAUUUUCCGGCCCCCUUAAAAGACGAUUAAAAAAGUUUUGAUUAAUGUUUUGUUGUUUUGCUUCGCAACUUUUCUUGCUUUUCGGUUUGUACUACAAUCACUUGAUGGUGCUGCAGUAGCUCGGUUGAUGUGAGGCUUCCAAAGUUGUGAUUUAUAAUGUAUCGAGAAACGAACAAUAAAACAGCCCCAGAAGAAUUACGAGUGAAAUGUCCCAAAAGCUUUGCGUGGCUAAUUUGGACUCACAAACUGAGCUAUCAUGCUUUUUAGAUAGCUAUCAAUGCUAUCUAAAUUGGACCUGCCUAUGGUACAGAUUCUGUACCUAACAUCUCCCGUCAUCCCACCGUCCCAUUUUCUUUGGUUUAAUUUCUCACUCCACAUCCAACGGCUGAUGCUGCAGUCUGUAGCUUACAGAUUCUGUAAGCUAGUCGAGUCCAUCUAAAUUAGAGAUUAAACACUUAAAUCUAAAAGUUUUUAAUAAUUAUACCAUCAAUGCUGUAAAAGUCAUACAGCAUUUUCAUAGAAAAAUCCUUAAAAAUUUUUUAAGUUGUGGCCUGUAAUGCGGAUGUGGGUAGCUCAUACAUUAGCAAGAUCAGCUCCCUCUUUUCCUGAGCCUAUUGUAUAGUUGGGCGGAAGAAGCUACACGGCAUACAUAAUUCUGAUUCGUGAACAUUUCGUAAUCUUGUUUUCUUUGUCCAAUGAAUUACCAUUUAUUUUAUAAAAUAAAAAAAAAACAUUUUUGAAAUGUCAGAGAUAGAUGCACGU